rnacentral:rRNA from 1 species
UACAGGGGGUGCAAACGUUGCUCGGAAUUAUUGGGCGUAAAGCGCGUGUAGGCGGCUUUGCAAGUCGGGUGUGAAAGCCCUCGGCUCAACCGAGGAAGUGCGCCCGAAACUGCAGAGCUUGAGUACCGGAGAGGAUGGCGGAAUUCCCCAAGUAGAGGUGAAAUUCGUAGAUAUGGGGAGGAACACCGGUGGCGAAGGCGGCCAUCUGGACGGAUACUGACGCUGAGACGCGAAAGCGUGGGUAGCAAACAGG